UGAGCUGCAGACCCAUGGAAAUCUAUCCCAGCCAAUGGGGGUUUAGUGAGUAAGCCUGCCACAAUAUGGUUCAGCAAUUGGCCUAAGGCUCACUGCCAAAUCUGGAGCCAACAUCAAACAACAAGAAGUAUGGAUAAGGGUAUGUGAAUGUGAUUGACUCAUGCAUGCGCAACCACAGUCUUAAAUGCACGUGGCCUUGGAAAACUGCUGCAGUGAAUGAUGAUUAAUGGACCUAAGUGUUUAAAGCACGUGAAGAAAAAGUUUGAAUGAAAUCCAAAACGCCCGUUCCUUCCACAUCCUUUUUCAACCAUUGUCUCUGUCGUGCCAGAGGCUACCUCGACAGCGGAGCUAACCAGAAACCAACAAACUAACCUUCAAACUUAUUCCUCUCAACCUCCACCUCCUAAAUCUGAACUCUACUUAACCUAAUUUUCCUGGAAUCGAAAGAAUCACAGCGUUUAAAUUUCUCAGGUUAGGGUUUUAAUUUCUUAAGCCAAACACUACAUGUUAGUAACUUAGGCAAGGUGAAAAGGAAGACUCGAGACUAACCUACAGAACAGAGAUUUGCUCCGGUCGGAGUCAAAUUCGAUACAGAUGCGGAUGAAGACUAACACUGCAAGAGUUUUAUGGAAGAGCAAAGCUUGGCUUUGAAAGAAAUGGUGACAUGAAGCAUGAAGUGCAUGAUCAUGAAGUUGGUGGAUGAAGAAAUUUGGACUAGGUUCAAUUCUUAACUGGUUGGAUUUUUGGUCAUGAAAAGUGUGGUUGAAUAUGAAUGUUAGGAACUUAGAUUAGACAUUAGUUCAUGCUUGUUUGGGAUGGUUUUGUAAUUUGUAAUGUGUUUUCCAUGGAAACUAUGUAUGAACAUGGCUUUCUAAAUGAAAGUCUUGAAAGUUUAUGGAAUUAUAUGGAAAGUCCCAUUGAAUUUUGAAA